GAACGAUUUGUUUGUGAAUGAUUUGUUUGUGAAUGAUUUGUUUGUGAAUGAUGCCAAGCACCCUAAAGUGAACGUCCUUAUUGGAACUGAAUAACAAAAGAAAUAUGGGCAACAAAGAGGAAGUCUAGAACAUUGGUUGAUGCAGUGAUCUAAAGUGCACAAUACACAUUGGUUGAUGCAGUGAUCUAAAGUGCACAAUACACAUUGGUUGAUGCAGUGAUCUAAAGUGCACAAUACACAUUGGUUGAUGCAGUGAUCUAAAGUGCACAAUACACAUUGGUUGAUGCAGUGAUCUAAAGUGCACAAUACACAUUGGUUGAUGCAGUGA